UGCGCUUUGAUAACUGUCCAUAUUUGAAUUCCUUAACUAUUUGGUGGAAUAUGGCACCCCUGAAGAGGUGCUGGACCUGCUGUUUGCAAAAUAUCGAUACAUCGUAGCUUCCUGCAAGAACGAAGGAAUCCUGGACCAGUGGGAAAUCACCAUGUCCUCCUUCCUGACCAUCUGGCUGGACUACUAUGAGGAGGACUUCCACGAUCCCCCAGAAUUUCCUGCCCUGACAAAGCUGCUGAACUUCACGGGGCAGUACUUGCCAGGCUCAGUGCUCA